GAAGACCAUAAGAUCACUAGAGUUGGCACUAAUCUUUGGUUCCAGGAUAUGGAUAAGAUCUUGAGAGCAUCAUUUUUAAUUCUAUGGCUUCAACUAGGCUGGGUGAGCGGCCAACAGAAGGAGAAACGUGACCAGCAGCAGGUGAAACAGAGCCCUCAAUCUUUGUUACUCCAGGAAGGAGACAUUUCAAUUAUGAACUGUACCUAUGAGAACAAUGCAUUUGACUACUUCCCAUGGUACCGGCAAUACCCUGGUAAAGGCCCUGAAUUAUUAAUAGCCAUACGUUCUGUUGAAAAUAAAAAAGAAGAUGGAAGAUUCACAGUUUUUUUCAGCAAAAAUACCAAACACUUCUCGUUGCACAUCAUGGCCUCUCAGCCUGGAGACUCAGCCACCUACUUCUGUGCAGCAAGUGCACAGUGCUCUGCAGGCACCUACAGCCUGUACUGA